rnacentral:rRNA from 1 species
UACGUAGGGUGCAAGCGUUAAUCGGAAUUACUGGGCGUAAAGCGUGCGCAGGCGGUUUUGUAAGUUUGUCGUGAAAUCCCCGGGCUCAACCUGGGAAUGGCGAUGAAGACUGCAAGGCUAGAAUCUGGCAGAGGGGGGUAGAAUUCCACGUGUAGCAGUGAAAUGCGUAGAGAUGUGGAGGAACACCGAUGGCGAAGGCAGCCCCCUGGGUCAAGAUUGACGC